rnacentral:lncRNA from 1 species
CCUUUUAAUCAAUGUUUUAUCACGGCACAGAAAACAAACUAGGACAGAGGUGUACAGUCUAAGAUCAAGCAGCCCCUUCCAUGUAGCUUCACGUAGGUGGAAGCAUAAUGUUGACAUUAUUUACUUGUAAGAUUGAUCACAGGCUGGAAGCCAGAAAAACAGACAUCAAACUUCCUACUUUAGAACUCGCUUUAAUGAGAACUAAUGGAGGUUCCCAAGAAAACUCCCUUAAUUGCUUCCAAGGAUAGUACCCUCAGUGCCCUAACUCCUCCUAGUCCCCACCUGAGCCCCACCAUGACACCAAAGCCAAGGCUCCAAUACGAGGACCAUUAGGGGACAAACCACAUCAGAGCAGUAGCAGAGAGAGAAAGGGUUUGUUAUCCCAGAAGUUGGGAUAAGCAAGAACUAUGUGUAAAUUCAUACAAGUUCAUUUCAGAUUAGGGUUUUUUGUUUUGUUUUGUUUUGUUUUGUUAUGAUUUGGUUUGGUUUGGUUUUUGUUUUUAGUUUUGGUUUUUUCAAGACAGGGUUUCUCUGUGUAGCCCUGGCUGUCCUGAAACUCACUUUGUAGACCAGGCUGCCCUCGAACUCAGAAAUCUGCCUGCCUCUGCCUCCCAAGUGCUGGGAUUAAAGGCAUGCACCACCACGUCCAGCACUUCAGAUCAGUUUUACCAGAGAGUUAUUUUUAAAAACUAGAUCUUUGCCAGGUGUGGUGGCCAUACCUUUAAUCCCAGCACUCUGAAGAAAGAAACAGGCAGAUCUCUCUUAGGCUGUGGCUAACGUGGGCUGCAGAGUGAGAACCUCUCUCAGACAAGUGGAUUCUUUUUGAGACUUUGAAGAGCUAAAAAGGUCUGGAUAAAGACUUGUAGACCUCUGAUGACAUCAUCAGCAUCCUCUCAACAGUGCUUCUGGGACGUAAUGGAAGCUAGCAGACAGGCCUUUGUUGGGGAAGUGUUACUAGAUCCUUUCAGGGAAGAAAAUACUGGAAGUCUGGCUUCUCUCCUCUCUCUGAUUCCCUUCUGUCAUGCUGUGAGCAUCUCCCCUCCCCUGCAUUCUUCCACCACAAUGUCUUGCCUCACCUAAAGUCCCCAAACCAGCAAGACCAAAAGACAGAAAUCUCUAAUCCUGUGAGCCAACAUAAGCUUCAUCCUUUACUCAAUUCAGCUAAGGAAACCAAAGGAAGAAGGAUAGAAAAGCCCAUGCCUGGUGCCCAGUAAGAUUGGCUAACAGCCCAUUUUCCAGAGGAAUGUUCUGCCUCUAGUAAUUCCCAAGAACCUGAGAUUUCUCACUGUCCAGCCAAG